rnacentral:rRNA from 1 species
UACGGAGGGUGCAAGCGUUAUCCGGAUUUAUUGGGUUUAAAGGGUCCGUAGGCGGGCCGAUAAGUCAGUGGUGAAAGCCCAUAGCUCAACUAUGGAACUGCCAUUGAUACUGUCGGCCUUGAGUACAAGUGAGGUUGGCGGAAUGUGUGGUGUAGCGGUGAAAUGCUUAGAUAUCACACAGAACACCGAUUGCGAAGGCAGCUGGCCAACUUGUAACUGACGCUGAGGGACGAAAGUGUGGGGAUCAAACAGGAUUAGAUGCCCUGGUAGUCCACACCGUAAACGAUGAUUACUAGAUUUUGGCCUUAUGGUCAGAGUCCAAGCGAAAGUGUUUAGUAAUCCACCUGGGGAGUACGUCCGCAAGGAUG